rnacentral:lncRNA from 10 species
AGCGAGGACGUGACCGUUUUGGAAGCAUUGUUCUUUUCACUGUUAGUGAGGAGCGGUCAAGGAUGCGUAUUAAGAAAGCCUCAUCGGAGCACAAAGUUCCAAGUGACUUCAAAGGGUUUUCUGUACUUGGAGCAGCUCUAUGGGACAUGGAAGAUGAGAAAUGAACCGACACCAGAGGUGCAAUGAAAGGUAAAACUCAUAGCAUCACCACAGCUCUUAGGGCUGGUGAAUUACCAGAUCUCCGUCAAGUGCAGUAACCAGUUCAAGUUGGAAGUGUGUCUUUUGAAUGCAGAAAACAAGGUCGUGGACAACCAGGC